rnacentral:rRNA from 1 species
UAAUACGGAGGGUGCAAGCGUUAUCCGGAUUCACUGGGUUUAAAGGGUGCGUAGGCGGGCAUGUAAGUCAGUGGUGAAAUCUCCGGGCUUAACCCGGAAACUGCCGUUGAUACUAUGUGUCUUGAAUAUCGUUGAGGUUUGCGGAAUAUGUCAUGUAGCGGUGAAAUGCUUAGAUAUGACAUAGAACACCAAUUGCGAAGGCAGCAGGCUAAACGAACAUUGACGCUGAGGCACGAAAGCGUGGGGAUCAAACAGGAUUAGAUACCCUGGUAGUCCACGCCCUAAACUAUGAUUACUCGACAUACGCGAUACACAGUGUGUGUCUGAGCGAAAGCAUUAAGUAAUCCACCUGGGAAGUACGACCGCAAGGUUG